GGCGCUAUAGCCAAGUGGUUACGGCGACAGAUUAGAAUGUUGCUGACUUACUAUCUGUUCCUCUUUGAGGGCGCAGGUUCAAAUCCUGCUGGCGUCG